rnacentral:rRNA from 1 species
UACAGAGGGUGCGAGCGUUAAUCGGAAUUACUGGGCGUAAAGGGCGCGUAGGUGGUUAUGUAAGUUUGUUGUGAAAUCCCUGGGCUUAACCUAGGAACUGCAACGAUGACUGUAUAGCUUGAGUAUUGUAGAGGGUAGUGGAAUUUCCGGUGUAGCGGUGAAAUGCGUAGAGAUCGGAAGGAACACCAGUGGCGAAGGCGGCUACCUGGACAAAUACUGACACUGAGGCGCGAGAGCGUGGGGAGCAAACAGG